AUAAGCCCAAUAGUUCAAAUCACUUUUUUUUUUUUUCUUUUUUGUUUAAUCACAUUUUUCUUGUGAAUCCCCACUAUUAAGAGCUUAUGAGUUUUAUUUUUAAUGAUUUUAAUUAUUGGGUAAUUACAGCUCCAUAAUUGUCCACCUACUUUAUGUCACCAAUCAUGCUCAAAAGACUACUUGACCUUUAAGUCUUUAACAAAAGAUUUGAGGAAUGGAGAUUACUAGCCUUUUUUUGCUUUCAAUAAUGUUUGUUAUUAAGAUUUUGAAUUACUCUUUUGAAUUCAUACUCCAAUUGAAGUGGUAACCUAACCUAAUAAUUGGGUUCUUGAACAUAAGAUUUAAAUGAUACAUCAAUAAUUAAAAACGAGGGGAGUGUUAAAGGUGACUUAUCAACUUGUUAAAGGUGACUUAUCACUUUCAUUGGGCUUAUUGUACGAUCAUCUGUUGUCACUUGUCAAUUGAUUGAAUUCAUCAAUAUGUAAUGGAGUGACACUCAAAUACAAUUCAAGAAUAUAUGCUACUAAAAGAGCCUCCAGGUGUGAAACCCCCACACCCGGGUUCGAAUCUCGCUGAGGCUGAUUGAAGUUAAAUCCCAAUAUAUUCUUAGUAGCGUUCUAACAUGAUUUCCCAGCACGGAUUAAUCUCUGGACCUAGGAAGCCUUUAAGAAACCGUGUGAUCUCGAUAUAUAUAUGCUACUCAAAAGCAAUUGAUAAAACACGUCGACUAUCAUGCAUAUAUAAAUCACAAAAAAACUCCAGCAGUACACAAAUUAUGACUAAUCUUGUAUCACCACUAAAUACACACCUGACAUCAACUCAAUAAAAACUAACUUUCCCUUUAUUUACUCCAACAGGUGCUCACUAACUGCAAUGUGUUCAUCUACAUUUCGCAAAUCAGUUUAUAACAAACUGAGCAGUGAGCACCAGAUACCCUUCCAGAAUUGUAUAAGCAUACCAACUCAACACUAGUCCUCACAAAAGCCGAACUGUUGCAUGGCAGAACCAACCGAGCCAUUUCAAUUCAAAAUCCUAAACAAAGCUACUGUAAUCCCAAUAAAGAUUCCAACUUUAACUUGGAGGUGAAUACCCAGAUGCCUAAAACCCAAUAAAGAUGCCCUUAAAACCUAAAUAAAAAAGACCCAUAUAGAAAAAACAGACCCCAUUGCUACUUCUUAUAAAAAUAUAUGGAUAACACAAAUUAUGGACACCAAAAAUCAGAGUAAUACUAAACAGAAUUAUAUAAAAAAAAAAAUAUGCAGUAGCUUUGUUCAAUAAAAUAUGCAGAAGAUUUGAGAGAGAAA